UCCGACUAUUAGAGAUCAAUAGAGAAUUCUAUUUCCUCGCACCUUACGACCUUUCGGGAUCUUUCGAUCGUGUAAUAGGAAAUAUUGAUUGUUCUACGUGGAAAGUAAGAGAACCGCGAUAAAGUUGUAGGUCUAUCCUUCGGUAGAUGUGUGACUAGUUAUACGCGAGCGGGUGUAGUGCAAUGAAUAUUCCCUAUGUGUAUGCAUCCUACAUCUCAAACGGUAGUUUUACAAGUAGUUCAAGCGGCGGAAACAAUUUCUUCAUUCUCACCAGUCUUUCGUUUCUGUUAUCAAUAUAAGGUCAAUUUUCAGUAGUCAUUAGUAUAUUAUUCAUUAUAAAAUUUCAAUUAUACACUAUGUAAUAUCAUCCUAAUAAUUAUUUGUUGCUUCUCGGAGAUGGUAGUUUAUAUCACUUAAAAGAGCGUAACCCGAUUUAUCCUUGAUAACUACGCAAUUUAGAUGAACAGUUGAAUGUCUCUCGUAAGUCUUAACUAAUCUACGAAUUUUGGCUUAUUUUAGAGAUAUACAAAACUAAUUAAAGGCGUAGGCAGUUCCAAUACCCAGGAAGUAUUGCAAAGGACCUGAAUCGACCGAUAUCCGGAUUGUAAUUCCAAAGAAGAUACGAGAAUUUUAACUACGCUCAACUUGACACUUAAAUAUGAGACAUCCAAAGAGAAACAUAUUUACCUGGUCUUCCUGUUCUUCUGUACAUCCGAUAACAAGUCCUACAUGGAUAAUACAAACGUCAGACCAUCAACCAGAUCAAGGUUUUUGAAGCAACCCAUCGGCGGCGAAUACGCUCUAAAUGGUAGCUGAUAAUCGUAUCAUCGAAUUGUCUGCUUUGUUUCACUGGAGAAAAACUAACGAAAAAAGACCUUUUUCGUUUUCGAAAUAAGAGAGAAGAUGUACGCAACAUGCAUGCAAUAUCGCGCCCUCGAUCCCGCCAACUUGAACUACCGCACAUGUAGGGAGAGAGGUAAUAAAUAAUAGAUUAAUAUGAUAAGGCUGGACGAUAUGUACGAGGGAAUGUAUUACGUCCGUGCAGAUCAUUAAAUCCCGAUCAAUACCAGUUAACAAGCUAAUUCGUAGACAUAGGAGAUCAUAUAUUUUUGUCAAAUAUCAAAAUGUCGUCCUUUAUAAUGCCUUACGAUGUCUGUGAUAAAUGUUGAAGCUAUUUUCUUCCAACACUAUCAUUCGUCUCAUUAUGUAUGAGAUCUCUUCGUUUUCUCGUUGGAUGACAUCACUAUCACUGCUAUCUCUCCCGAUUAAUAUUUAGUUUUUCUAACGUAUCCGUAUAAAUGUGUAUACCUGUAAUUCCCCUUCGGCAUUACAUAUGACUCGAAACUCUUGUUUGUAAAUUUUGCCAUGCUCAACGAAAAAGAAAUAAGUAAGUAAACGGUAUGGUAGUCUCAAAUUGUAGAUUAGGAAAUAACGAAGCGAUAUAUACAAAAUGAAUAUUACUAUUCUGAUUUCCUGAAUUAUUAGUCGAGGGAUCUAUCUGUACUACUCGAUGUUUCAAUACCAAGUGAGUUCAGCUUUGAAAAUCUCUUAAUCCCAGUUUUAUCAAUACUUGUUUACUUCACCAAAUGUCAGCAUGUUAAACGAGGUCUACUCGCAUACCAUUGCAAACAAGUCCAUCUUAUCUCAGAAUGUAAAACUGUCAAACGUAUCUGGUAAAACUGACUGAUAUUCAUUUCAUGUAUCUAGGAAUUAGAUUUCUUUUGCUACUUCAAUAGAAAAAUCCAGAGAGACGUGCAUGUCUUGCAAAAAAAUAUGGCGAUGCAAUCACUCGAUCUUCUCAAAUAACUCACAAACUCUGUAGUUCUUUCGGAGGGGAAAUACGUGAAAGAGAAGAAGAUAAUAUUGGCAAACGAAAAAAUAUGACGAAAGAUUUUCUUUGAGUACAUGUUUUUUAUUAUUUCUUUGAAUACAUAUUUUUAUCAUAUAAUAUUAUUGUAAAAUAACGGAAAUGAAUUCUUCGAUAACUUAAGAUAUAUAUUUUUUUACAAAAGAGAGGGUAAUAUUUGGAGAAAAUGUUUCCAAGGAAUCUGAAAGUAGAUACAACUUCCGACGAAAAAAUUUUUUUUCAUCGGAAGAUUUUACAAAAAGAAUUACAUAGUACGGAAAUUGUAAUAUCAUUAAUAUUUGGUAACAUUAGAAAACUGUUUUUAAGUAUGACUAGGGAUAAGAAAGAAAGAAA